UCAUUGUUUAAAUUGUUUUUUUUUUUCAAUUUCAAUUUUUCCUUGCGUGUAUACGGUUUUUGUUUAAUUUAUGUGGGUGGCCUGAAUCUGUUUUGCUUAGAUGGCCUGAAUCUGUUUUUCUUAGGUUUUUGUUUAAUUUAUGUGGGUGGCCUGAAUCUGUUUUUCUUAGAUUUUUGCCCAAUUUUGUACUGCUUUGUCCUGACUAUUUGUUGUCAGGUAGUUCAAGCUAUUUGUCCUGACUAAAUUAGUGUACUAAUGGACAAAAUUGGUGUAGUUGUUCAUGGAGGGACAUUGGUUUUUCAGUCAAUGUAAGAACAUAUCUAGAUAAGAAAUAGUAUUAUGUUAGUACAAUGUGAAUCUAGCGACUGGAGACACCAUUAUUUCCGUCAAUAAGGUGAUGCAUAUACUUGAAGUGUCAUGUUGCUAUAAUUAGUAGGGUUAAAUGCAAAAAACCCCCCACAAACUAUAUACCGAAUUGCAGUUUAUCCCCUAAACUAUAAUAAUAGGCAUUUUGCCCCCUUGAAUGAUAUGUUUGGACAAAUCUAUCCCUUUUAUUUUAAGUAUUGUUAUUUUUCUUUUUUCCCUAUCAUUUUCUUUUUAAAUUCUUCUUUUUUUUCUUUAAACAUUGUUUAAAUAAGUAGACUAGAUUAGUCAAAAAUUUAUUUCUUAAUUUCGUAUGCCAAUAUUUUAUUAAAAAAAAAAAAUCUAUGGAAUACAAGAUUUUUUUUCCAAAUGUUGAAGUCAAUGUCAUUUAAGAAAUUGAACUUUUCAAAUGUAUAAUAACAAAAUAGAGAAAUUGAUUAAUCAAUCAUUAGUAGUAUCAAUAACAAAAAAGAUGAACUACUAUUGUUGUUUAUUCUUAUUUUUUAUUUCACUACAAAUAACAAUUGCUAACUUUUCUUUUUUAUGUGAUAUAAAAUGUUACUUUUAUUAUAAGUAGUUGAGUAACUGUAAACUCUUCAUUAGUUUAUAGGUACUUAAAUUGUUGAAUUAUUUGAUUAAUACACUUUACAAUAUAAGCUACAAAUAUUUUGUAAUAACAAAGAGUUUAUGACAAAUUAUUAAGAAUGAAUUUAACAAAUAAACAAAUUUAAAAGUAGUUUAAAAAAUAUUAAAAUUUUUUAUGUAAGUCUUUUCACAUCGGAGAGAGAUGUUGGUUAGUUCCAAGAGACAAGGAGAGCAAAAAGAAAAUAAAAGGAAAAAAAAUGAAAAAAUCUAAUAGAGAAAAAAAAAAA